GCUGUGCCAAGUUUCCGGAGGCUGUCCUGGUAUAGAUGUCAGCAAGCUCAGGCUUCUGCAGGCAAAGAGAUCUCAUCUUACCUUGUCUGAAUCCAUUAAUAAUGUCCCAGUCCCACUUAGCCCUCCCAGUGGCCUGAGGUGCAGUUCUGUGAGAAUAACCACUUGGUUUUAGUGGCUAUGAAGGGUUUGCAAUCACAUGGGAAACCCACCCUCAGGCACGGAACUGAAACUCACCAGAUCACCGCAUCCAGAGGAUGAGAUCCCAGACCCCUCACUCAGCAGCAUUGCUUCCCUACUGCUUCCUAACUUCUUCCUGCAGUAUCCUGUAAUAGGUGGACUGUAUUCUCAAUGCUGGCAAUACAGCAGCAAGCCACAUCCACAAGGACCCCUGCCUAAGCAAGCUGGUUAUCUGGGUGUGUAUUACAAGCCAGAAACAAAUAAGCAAAAUACAGAGGAUGUCAGAUGAUGGUAACUGUGUCCAGAAUUGGUGGGUUCUUGGUCUCAGUGACUUCAAGAAUGAAGCUGCGGACCCUCGUGGUGAGUAUUACAGUUCUUAAAGAUGGUGGGUCUGGAGUUUGUUCCUUCUGAUGUUCAGACGUGUUUGAAGUUUCUUCCAUCUGGUGGGUUUGUGGUCUUGCUGGCUUCAGGAGUGAAGCUGCAGACCUUCGUGGUGAGUGUUACAGCUCUUAAGGCAGCGCAUCUGGAGUUGUUAGUUCCUCGGGUCCAGAGUUGUUCAUUCCUCCCGGUGGGUUUGUGGUCUUGCUGGCCUCAGGAGUGAAGCUGCAAACCUUCGCGGUGAACGUUAAAGCUCUCAUAAAGGCAGCACAGACCCAAAGUCAGCAACAGCAAGAUUUAUUGCAAAGAGCAAAAGAACAAGGCUUCCAAAAGGUGGAAGGAGACCCAAAGGGGUUGUCACUGCUGGUUCAGGCAGCCUGCUUUUAUUCCCUUAUCUGGCCCCACCCACAUCCUGUUGAUUGGUCCGUUUUACAGAGAGCUGAUUGAUCCAUUUUACAGAGAGCUGAUUGGUCCGUUUCACAGAGAACUGAUUGGUCCAUUUUGACAGGGUGCUGAUUGGUGCGUUUACAACACCUGAGCUAGACACAGAGUGCUGAUUGGUGCAUUUACAAUCCUCUAGCUAGACAUAAAAGUUCUCCAAGUCCUCACCAGAUUAGCUAGAUACAGAGUGCUGAUUGGUGCAUUUACAAACAUUGAGCUAGACACAGAGUGCUGAUUGGUGUAUUUACAAUCCUUUAGCAAAACAUAAAGGUUCUCCAAGUCCCCACUGGAUGAGCUAGACACAGAGCACUGAUUGGUGCAUUUACAAACCUUGAGCUAGACACAAGGUGCUGAUUGGUGUGUUUACAAACCUUGAGCUAGACCCAUAGUGCUGAUUGGUGUAUUUACAAACCUUUAGCUAGACAUAAAAGUUCUCCAAGUCCUCACCAGAUUAGCUAGACAGAGAGCACUGACUGGUGCAUUUACAAACCUUGAGCUAGACACAGGGUGCUGAUUGGUGUGUUUACAAACCUUGAGCUAGACACAGAGUGCUGAUUGGUGUAGUUACAAACCUUUAGCUAGACAUAAAAGUUCUCCAAGUCCCCACCAGACUCAGGAGCCCAGCUGGCUUCCCCUAGUGGAUCCCGGGCCAGGGCCGUGGGUGGAGCUGCCCUCCUGCACUCCUCAGCCCUUGGGCGUCAAUGGGACCAGGUGCCGUGGAGCAGGGGGCAGCACCCGUGGGGGAGGCUCCGGCCGCGCGGGAGCCCACCAAGGUGGGGGCUCGUGCAUGGUGGGCUGCAGGUCCCCAAGGGGUCUCAGGCAUGGCAGGCUGCAGGUCCCCAGCCCUGCCCCGUGGGGAGGCGGCUGAGGCCCAGUGAGAAUUCCAGCCUGGCGCGGGCGGGCCGGCAGUGCUAUGGGACCCUGUGCCCCCUCUGUGGCUGCUGGCCCAGGUACUAAGCCCCUCACUGCCUGGCCGGUGGCGCCGACCGGCUGCUCCGAGUGCCGGCAGCUGAGCCCAUGCCCACCCAGAACUUGGGCUAGCCAGUGAGCACCGUGCACAGCCCCGGUUCCCGCCUGCGCUUCUCCCUCCACACCUCCCCGCAAGCAGAGGGAGCCACCUCCAGCCUUGGCCAGUCCAGAGGGGGGCUCCCACAGUGCAGCAGCAGGCCGAAGGGCUCCUCAAGCAUGGCCAGAGCAGACGCUGAGGCCGAGGAGGCACUGAGAGCGAGCGAGGGCCGCCAGCACAUUGUCACCUCUCAGGAGGUACCAUGGAGAAGGACAAAGCAGGGCCAAGAACAAGGCAGAAUAAGUUUGGGGGCUGCACUUUCAACAGUGUGGACAGGACAGGGAACCCUUGAGCGGAAUGUGGAAGGAGGUUGGGGAGGACACCAUUAACACCUGUGGAAGAGCCUUCCAGGCAGAGGGAACAGCCAGUGUGUAGUAAGCCUGAGGUGGGAAUCUGCCUACUUGUUAGAGCAAGAGGCUGGGUGGGGCUUUGAAAAAGGUAGGGCACAAUCUGAAUUCAGGGCAGUUUCAAUGUGAAUGGAAACCAAAAAUAAAAUUCUAAGCCGCCCCCCCACCCCCACUGCACCAUCAUCUGAAUGGACCCCUCCUCUUGGCCAAGGGAACUCCAAAGUUAACCUGAAAAAGUAGUUGAGGCCAUGAUGGAAGUGGGAGUUGGGCAUGCCUCAUUAUAUUUUUCUCCCUUUUUAAAUUCAGCAAAAGCCAACCAUGUCGGGCACAGUGUCUCAUGCCUGUAAUCGCAGCACUUUGGAAGGUCGAGACGGGCGGAUCACUUGAGGCCAGGAGUUUUAAGACCAGCCUGGUCAACAUGGCAAGACCCUGUCUCUACUAAAAAUACAAAAAUUAGCCAGGCAUGGUGGCAGAUGCCUGUAAUCCCAGCUACUCGGGAGGCUGAGGCAGGAGAAUUGCUUGAACCCAGGAGGUGGAGGUUGCAGUGAGCCGAGAUCACGCCAUUGCACUCCAGCCUGGGCGACAGAGCGAGACCCCAUCUCAACCAGCAUUAACAUCAACACAGACCUUAAAUCUGAUAAGAAACAUUUAUAAUCUAUUCUCUCUGAAGCCUGCUACCUGGAGGCUUCAUCUGUGUGAUAAAACCUUGGUCUCCACAACCCCUCAUUAUAACCCAGACAUUCCUUUCUAUUGAUAGUAAUUCUUUCAACCAAUUGCCAAUCAGAAAAUUUUUAAAUCUGCCUGUGACCUGGAAGCCUACUCCACUCACUUCAAGUUGUCCCACCCUUACAUUGGUUACAGAUAGAACCAAUGUAAAUCUUACAUGUACUGACUGAUGUCUAAUGUCUCCCUAAAAUAUAUGAAAGCAAGUUGUACCCUGACCACCUUGGGCACAUGUCCUCAGGACCUCCUGAGGCUAUGUCACAGGUGCAUUCUUCACCUUGGCAAAAUAAACUUUCUAAGUUGGUUAAGAACUGUCUCAGAUACUUUUGGGUUCACA
rnacentral:lncRNA from 10 species